AUUGAACGCUGGGGCAGGCUUAACACAUGCAAGUCGAGCGGGGGAAGGUAGCUUGCUACCGGACCUAGCGGCGGACGGGUGAGUAAUGCUUAGGAAUCUGCCUAUUAGUGGGGGACAACAUCUCGAAAGGGAUGCUAAUACCGCAUACGUCCUACGGGAGAAAGCAGGGGAUCACUUGUGACCUUGCGCUAAUAGAUGAGCCUAAGUCGGAUUAGCUAGUUGGUGGGGUAAAGGCCUACCAAGGCGACGAUCUGUAGCGGGUCUGAGAGGAUGAUCAGACACACGGGGCCUGAGACACGGCCCAGACUCCUACGGGAGGCAGCAGUGGGGAAUAUUGGACGAUGGGGGGAACCCUGAUCCAGCCAUGCCGCGUGUGUGAAGAAGGCCUUAUGGUUGUAAAGCACUUUAAGCGAGGAGGAGGCUCUUUUGGUUAAUACCCAAGAUGAGUGGACGUUACUCGCAGAAUAAGCACCGGCUAACUCUGUGCCAGCCGCCGCGGUAA
rnacentral:rRNA from 1 species